AUGCCAACCGAAUCGAUGGAUUCAUGGUUGUAUGGAGAAUCAAUGGAGAACCAGGCCUUAAAACUUCCCGCAGGGCCGCGCCUCGCGCCCUUCGUCGCCGGCCGUGGCCAAGCCACGCCUCACGCCAUCGCCGCCUGGCCGCGCCGGCCGCCCCACGCCUCGGCCGCGCCCGUCCGCUUGGGCGCCAUCGACCUGCCGAAUGAGGUCGUCAUAAUCGACGACGACGACGAGGCCACGGCGCUGCCAUGUCCAACCCCUGCGGUUGUUGAAGUCGAAGCCAGCGAUGUGGUCAUCGACGCGGACACUGCAGGGUCCUCGCGCCUGCCGUCCCGACGCUCGCCACUCCUCCAGCUGCGCCACGCUCCGGCGCCCGCUGUCGUCUUAUGGCGCUCGGCUUUCUCCUAA
rnacentral:rRNA from 1 species